rnacentral:rRNA from 1 species
UAAAGCGGAGGUAUCCGGGGAGACAGGUGGUGCAUGGUUGUCGUCAGCUCGUGUCGUGAGGAUGUUGGGGUUAAGUCCCGGCAACGAGCGCAACCCUUAUUGCUAGUUACCAUCAUUGAUUGGGGACUCUAGCGAGACUGCCAGCGAUAAGCUGGAGGAAGUGGGGAUGACGUCAAAUCAUCAUGCCCCUUAUGACCUGGGCUACAAACGUGAUACAAUGGCUGGAACAAAGGGAGGCGAAGGGGUGACCUGGAGCGAAACUCAAAAAACAGUCUCAGUUCGGAUUGAAGUCUGCAACUCGACUUCAUGAAGUCGGAAUCGCUAGUAAUCGCGGAUCAGAACGCCGCGGUGAAUACGUUCUCGGGUUU